CAUAGAACAAGACAGAUGAAGUGUCUGGCUUCAUGGGGCUUCCAUCACAGGGAGGGAGAGGAUCAUUAACAAAAAUCGAUAUUACUAUAAUGCAGACCUAAUAAGGACUGUUAGGAAAAGGAAAACUGAGCAAGGGGAUAACAAGUGAUGGGGGGGAUGAACGCGGUGGCUCAUGCCUGUAAUCCCAGCACUUUGGGAAGCCAAGGAGGGAGGAUCGCUUGAGUCCAGGAGUUCCAGACCAGCCGGGGCAACAUAGUGAGAUCUCAUCUCCAGCAAAAAUAUUACAAAAAUUAGCUGGGCAUGGUGGUGCGGCACCUAUGGUCUCAGCUACUCAGGAGGCUGAGGUGGGAGGAUCGCUUGAAUCCAGGAGGUCGAGGCUGCAGUGAGCCCUGAUCCUGGCGCUGCACUCCAGCCUGGGCGGCAGAGCGAGUGAUGAGAGGGUUUGGGUCAAGCGGCCAGGAAGGCCUCCGGGGGCGCCCACGCCUGGGCCGGGCUCUGCCUGAGGCGAGGGAGAGCCGCCCUUAUCGGGCAAAUGGCGCGGGCUCCCAAGUGGGAAGGUGGUUGGUUCCCUGGAGGCACAGCAGAGAGGCAGGGCUCUGAGGGGAAGGAAGGAAGGAGCCGGGCCGGGAUCCUGCGCGUUAUUCGUCCGGAGGGGAGCGGGCGCUGUCAACCCAGGGCAGAGGGGACCGCCGCAGGGUUCCAGCGUCCCUGCGGAGCCGGGACCAUGGACGCGGGGCAGGGACCGCAGCCGGAGCUGGUGGGGGCUAUGACAGCGGCUCCGGCGCGGGACCCGUGGCUCCCCGGGGUGCGGCGGCGAGGGCGGGCUGGGGUGGCGCGGGGCGGUCGCAGAGCUGAGCGGCGGUGCCUAGGGCCGGGCUCACCAAGGAGGCGCCUGUGCCUCAGUGGGCAGCGGGGGGAGCGCUCGUGACUGCGCGCGGAUGGAGAUGCCCAUGGGCGUCGCGAGGAAGGACCGAGUGACCGAGGGCGCCUCCCGCCGGGAACCAGGAGGCUGCGGCGGCGUGGGGCGUCCCCGGCGUCCCCGGCGUCCCCGGCGUCCCCUUCGCUCUUCCUGGCUGCUCCUUCAGGGAGGCUGCGCUCUAAUACCCGCGCCUAGGGGGCGUACAUCGGAACGGCUUUAUUUCGCCGGACGUUUGGCUGUCAGUUUACCUCGGUUCAGAAUUCCAGAACUCUUUCCUGUCACCGAAGUGGAAGAGCUGAGAAUGAGAGCCAAGGCUGAUCCCCGUGGGUGCCAAACUUUGAUGUCCAUGGAAUCUGCGGCAUCCCCCAGUCUCCUAGCUGAAAAUAGGGUGGAUUGGGAAGAGCUUAUGACCCAGGAUCCACUUCGGUGAUUAAAAGAAAAACAAAAUAGGUAAGGGGCACCUGGAUUUGAACCAGGGACCUUUUGAUCUGCAGUCAAAUGCUCUACCAUUGAGCUAUGCCCCCAGGCCCAAGAAGAUGGUAUAAUUAACACCCUUUUCAUGUGUUGACUCACCAAGAACAAGACUCAGCUCUUCUGGUUGGGAUGUCAAGGCCGGUUCUGUGUCUCUGAACUCUGGCCUCCCUCCUGUCACUUACACUUCCUCCCCCAUCACUUCUGUGUGCACCUGGCUGAGGACACCCCAGAGGCCUGGUUGAGCUUUAUAACUGGAGAGACGCUUCAUCUAGAUAAUUCUCUGACAGUAGCAAUUGUUGAGCAUCAUGUCAGGUGUGCUGGGCUGGGGACAGAAUUCUGCGUGACACCACCCUCCCCUGCACUGAAAGGAGGCCCAGAGCCUGUGUCUGGGGCUUGUAUUUGACAUAGAAUACUGUUGAUAAUUUGCCAAGUGAUAAGCAAAUUCCUUUUGUAAAAGAAAGCUACUUAAAAAACAAUACUCAGAAUACCAAAAAUGUGGCACAUAAUACACCACGGAAUACGAUGCAGCUCUAAAAGAAGUACGAAAUCAUGUUCUUUGCAGCAACAUGGAUGGGGCUAGAGGCCAUUAUCCUAAGAAAACUAACGGAGGAACAGAAAACCAAAUACCGCAUGUUCUCUCCUAUUAGUGAGAGCUAAAUGAUGAGAACACAUGGACACAGAGAGGGGAGCAAUACCCAUAGGCACCUACUUGAGGGUGGAUGGUGGAAACAGAGAGAGGAUCAGAAAAAAAUACCUGUGCUUAGUACCUGGGUGAGGAAAUAAUCUGUACACCAAACCCCUGUGACACGAGUUUACCUAAAUGACAAACCUGUAUAUGUACUUCUGAACCUGAAAUAAAAAUCUGACUGAGGGAUGGAUGCACAAAACGCCAUGGCACGUGUAUACCUAUGUAACAAACCUGUACGUUCUGCACAUAUACCCCAGAACUUAAAGUAUAAUAAACAUAAAUAAAUAAAAUAAGAUAAAAACUAAAAGAGGCCGGGCGCGGUGGCUCACGUGUAUAAUCCCAGCACUUUGGGAGGCCGAGGCGGGUAGAUCACGAGGCCAAGAGAUCGAGCCCAUCCUGGUCAACAAGGUGAAACCCCGUAUCUACUAAAAAUACAAAAAUUAGCUGGGCAUGGUGGUGCGCGCCUAUAGUCCCAGCUACUUGGGAGGCUGAGGCAGGAGAAUUACUUGAACCCAGAAGGCGGGAGGUUGCGAUGAGCCGAGAUCGUGCCAUUGCACUCCAGCCUGGGUAACAAGAGUGAAACUCCGUCUCAAAAAAAAAAACUAAACUAAAAGAAAAAAAAAUUAAAAAAAUCAUACUCUGUUACAGAGUACCGCUUCUAGGAAUUUAACCUUCAAAAAUAUUCAUAUGUGUAUGAAGACACAUGUAUGUGGAGACUCAUCACACCCUCCUGGGUUCAGGCAAUUCUCCUGCCUCAGCCUCCCGAGUAGCUGGGAUUACAGGUACGCGCCACCACGCCCAGCUAAUUUUUUUGUAUUUUUAGUAGAGACAGGGUUUCACCUUGUUGACCAGGAUGGUCUCGAUCUGUUGACCUCGUGAUCCACCCACCUUGGCCUCCCAAAGUGCUGGGAUUACAGGCGUGAGCCACCGUGCCCGCACAGCCAUUUUUUAAUUCAUUACAGCCAAACACUGGAGACCAUCUAAAUAUCCAUGGGCAGGGAAUUGGUAAAAACAUUACAGUACAUUCGCAGGAUGAAAUGCAAUGCAACGGAAUCAGUAAGCUGGAUCCACUGCAGUGGCACGGGAAGACGCUUCAAUGAAACAUUAAGUGAAAAGCAGAUGCACAACAGGUGUAUGAUAUGAGCCCAUUUUGGCUUUAAAAAAUACCUUAUAUAGGGUGCACAUUGGGGUGCUAAGGCGGCGGCGGUGUUGCGUCUCUGUCCUUGGAGGUGAUCACAGCCACUGCAGGCAUGGCACUAGGCUUUGAUGACAGUAGAAGAACCAUUUCCUACCAUUUAUGUAGAUUCACAAAAAGCAAAUGAGAGGUGGGAUGUUAUUUCUAAAUCGCAGAUGAACAACAUUAAAAAGAUGUGGCAUAGGAAACAAUGAAGAGUGACUCCCGGGAUAAGAAAGAGGCAGAAGAUCAUUUACAAAGAGAAAAGAACCUGGAGAAGCCAAGAAGAUUACCAGUAAAAACGAUCCAAGUCUCCCAGAGCCAAAAUGUGGGAAGAUUAAUGAGUUAGAAGGAUAUCAAGGCCAACGAGUAAAGGUGUUUGCCUGGGUCCACAGGCUACGUAGGCAAGGAAAGGAUUUAAUGUUUCUGGUGUUGCGAGUGGAACAGGUUUUCUUCAGUGUUGUCUUGGCGGAUGAGUUGUGUCUGUGC
rnacentral:tRNA from 1 species